rnacentral:rRNA from 1 species
GCAGUCGAGCGAAUGGAUUAAGAGCUUGCUCUUAUGAAGUUAGCGGCGGACGGGUGAGUAACACGUGGGUAACCUGCCCAUAAGACUGGGAUAACUCCGGGAAACCGGGGCUAAUACCGGAUAACAUUUUGAACCGCAUGGUUCGAAAUUGAAAGGCGGCUUCGGCUGUCACUUAUGGAUGGACCCGCGUCGCAUUAGCUAGUUGGUGAGGUAACGGCUCACCAAGGCAACGAUGCGUAGCCGACCUGAGAGGGUGAUCGGCCACACUGGGACUGAGACACGGCCCAGACUCCUACGGGAGGCAGCAGUAGGGAAUCUUCCGCAAUGGACGAAAGUCUGACGGAGCAACGCCGCGUGAGUGAUGAAGGCUUUCGGGUCGUAAAACUCUGUUGUUAGGGAAGAACAAGUGCUAGUUGAAUAAGCUGGCACCUUGACGGUACCUAACCAGAAAGCCACGGCUAACUACGUGCCAGCAGCCGCGGUAAUACGUAGGUGGCAAGCGUUAUCCGGAAUUAUUGGGCGUAAAGCGCGCGCAGGUGGUUUCUUAAGUCUGAUGUGAAAGCCCACGGCUCAACCGUGGAGGGUCAUUGGAAACUGGGAGACUUGAGUGCAGAAGAGGAAAGUGGAAUUCCAUGUGUAGCGGUGAAAUGCGUAAAGAUAUGGAGGAACACCAGUGGCGAAGGCGACUUUCUGGUCUGUAACUGACACUGAGGCGCGAAAGCGUGGGGAGCAAACAGGAUUAAAUACCCUGGUAGUCCACGCCGUAAACGAUGAGUGCUAACUGUUAGAGGGUUUCCUCCCUUUAUUGCUGAAGUUAACGCAUUAAGCACUCCGCCGGCGGAGUACGGCCGCGAGGCUGGAACUCCAAUGAAUUGAAAGGGGCGCGCACCAGCGCUGCAGCAUGUGCUUUAAUUCAAAUCAACGCGACGACCAUACCUAGUCGUGGCGUCG